rnacentral:rRNA from 1 species
CCCUUAGAUGUUCUGGGCCGCACGCGCGCUACACUGAUUCAUGCAACAAGUUUUGUCCUUGGCUGAUAGGCCUGGGUAAUCUUUGAACGUGAAUCGUGAUGGGGAUAGAUGAUUGCAAUUAUUCAUCUUCAACGAGGAAUUCCUAGUAAACGCAAGUCAUCAGCUUGCAUUGAUUACGUCCCUGCCCUUUGUACACACCGCCCGUCGCACCUACCGAUUGAAUGGUCCGGUGAGAUCUUCGGAUCUGAGAGAUGUCUGAUUAAUUUCGGACGCCUUUUGGAAAAGUUGUUUAAACCUUACCAUUUAGAGGAAGGUGAAGUCGUAACA